GCAGGGUGAGUCGACCCCUAAGGCGAGGCCGAAAGGCGUAGUCGAUGGGAAACAGGUUAAUAUUCCUGUACUUGGUGUUACUGCGAAGGGGGGACGGAGAAGGCUAUGUUAGCCGGGCGACGGUUGUCCCGGUUUAAGCAUGUAGGCGGAGGUUCCAGGUAAAUCCGGUACCUUUUUAACGCUGAGGUGUGAUGACGAGGCACUACGGUGCUGAAGUAACAAAUGCCCUGCUUCCAG
rnacentral:rRNA from 1 species